GACGAGGUGGCCCGAGUGGUUAAGGCGAUGGACUGCUAAUCCAUUGUGCUCUGCACGCGUGGGUUCGAAUCCAAUCCUCGUCG
rnacentral:tRNA from 1 species